rnacentral:rRNA from 1 species
AUCCCAAACCCCUGUGAACAUACCAUAUUGUUGCCUCGGCGGUGCCUGUUUCGGCAGCCCGCCAGAGGACCCAAACCCUAGAUUACAUUAAAGUAUCUUCUGAGUCAAUGAUUAAAUCAAUCAAAACUUUCAACAACGGAUCUCUUGGUUCUGGCAUCGAUGAAGAACGCAGCGAAAUGCGAUAAGUAAUGUGAAUUGCAGAAUUCAGUGAAUCAUCGAAUCUUUGAACGCACAUUGCGCCCGCCAGUAUUCUGGCGGGCAUGCCUGUCCGAGCGUCAUUUCAACCCUCAAGCCCCCGGGCUUGGUGUUGGAGAUCGGCGAGCCCUCCGGGGCGCGCCGUCUCCCAAAUAUAGUGGCGGUCCCGCUGUAGCUUCCUCUGCGUAGUAGCACACCUCGCACUGGGAAACAGCGUGGCCACGCCGUGAAACCCCCCACUUCUGAAAGGU